rnacentral:rRNA from 112 species
UUGACCUCGGAUCAGGUAGGAAUACCCGCUGAACUUAAGCAUAUC